GACGAACGCUGGCGGCGUGCUUAACACAUGCAAGUCGAACGGAAAGGCCCUGCUUUUGUGGGGUGCUCGAGUGGCGAACGGGUGAGUAACACGUGAGUAACCUGCCCUUGACUUUGUGAUAACUUCAGGAAACUGGGGCUAAUACCGGCUAGGAGCUCCUGCUGGAUGGUGGGGGUUGGAAAGUUUCGGCGGAUGGGGAUGGACGCGGGGCUUACCAGCUUGUUGGUGGGGUAGUGGCCUACCAAGGCUUUGGCGGGUAGUCUGCAUGAGAGGGUGAUCAGCCACCUUGCUACUGCGGUACGGCCCAGACUCCUACGGGGGGCAGCAGUGGGGAAUAUGGCACAAUGGUGGGAAGCCUGAUGCAGCAACGCCGCGUGCGGGAUGACGGCCUUCGGGUUGUAAACCGCUUUCGCCUGUGACGAAGCGUGAGUGACGGUAAUGGGUAAAGAAGCACCGGCUAACUACGUG
rnacentral:rRNA from 1 species